rnacentral:tRNA from 1 species
GCCCGGGUGGCGGAAUUGGUAGACGCGCACGACUCAAAAUCGUGUUCCUUCGGGAGUGAGAGUUCGAUUCUCUCCCCGGGCACCA